rnacentral:rRNA from 1 species
GAUGAACGCUGGCGGCGUGCCUAAUACAUGCAAGUCGAGCGAACAGACGAGGAGCUUGCUCCUCUGACGUUAGCGGCGGACGGGUGAGUAACACGUGGAUAACCUACCUAUAAGACUGGGAUAACUUCGGGAAACCGGAGCUAAUACCGGAUAAUAUAUUGAACCGCAUGGUUCAAUAGUGAAAGACGGUUUUGCUGUCACUUAUAGAUGGAUCCGCGCCGCAUUAGCUAGUUGGUAAGGUAACGGCUUACCAAGGCAACGAUGCGUAGCUGACCUGAGAGGGUGAUCGGCCACACUGGAACUGAGACACGGUCCAGACUCCUACGGGAGGCAGCAGUAGGGAAUCUUCCGCAAUGGGCGAAAGCCUGACGGAGCAACGCCGCGUGAGUGAUGAAGGUCUUCGGAUCGUAAAACUCUGUUAUUAGGGAAGAACAAAUGUGUAAGUAACUAUGCACGUCUUGACGGUACCUAAUCAGAAAGCCACGGCUAGCUACGUG